rnacentral:rRNA from 1 species
GAGGAAUAUUGGUCAAUGGGCGAGAGCCUGAACCAGCCAAGUAGCGUGCAGGAUGACGGCCCUAUGGGUUGUAAACUGCUUUUGUAUGGGGAUAAAGUCAAUCACGUGUGAUUGUUUGCAGGUACCAUACGAAUAAGGACCGGCUAAUUCCGUGCCAGCAGCCGCGGUAAUACGGAAGGUCCGGGCGUUAUCCGGAUUUAUUGGGUUUAAAGGGAGCGUAGGCUGGAGAUUAAGUGUGUUGUGAAAUGUAGACGCUCAACGUCUGACUUGCAGCGCAUACUGGUUUCCUUGAGUACGCACAACGUUGGCGGAAUUCGUCGUGUAGCGGUGAAAUGCUUAGAUAUGACGAAGAACUCCGAUUGCGAAGGCAGCUGACGGGAGCGCAACUGACGCUGAAGCUCGAAGGUGCGGGUAUCGAACAGGAUUAGAUACCCUGGUAGUCCGCACAGUAAACGAUGGAUGCCCGCUGUUGGUACGUGGUAUCAGCGGCUAAGCGAAAGCAUUAAGCACCCCACCUGGGGAGUACGCCGGCAACGGUG